rnacentral:rRNA from 1 species
AAUGAACGUUGGCGGCGUGGAUUAGGCAUGCAAGUCGUACGAGAAUCGUAGCAAUACGAGGAAAGUGGCGGAAGGGAGAGGAUUGCGUGGGAAUCUACCCUCAGAACUGGGAUAGCGGCGGGAAACUGCCGGUAAUACCAGAUAAUGUCUGUGGACCAAAGGUGUGAUUCCGUCUGGGGAUGAGCCCACGUCCUAUUAGCUAGUUGGCAGGGUAAUGGCCUACCAAGGCAAUGAUGGGUAGCGGGUGUGAGAGCAUGACCCGCCUCACUGGGACUGAGAACUGCCCAGACACCUACGGGUGGCUGCAGUCGAGAAUCUUCGGCAAUGAGCGCAAGCUUGACCGAGCGACGCCGCGUGCGGGAUGAAGGCCUUCGGGUUGUAAACCGCUGUCGUAGGGGAGCAAGAGAUGAGGGUACUCCCUCUGAUUUGAGCGAUCCUAGGAGGAAGGACGGGCUAAGUUCGUGCCAGCAGCCGCAGUAAUAC